rnacentral:lncRNA from 1 species
GGCCUUUUAACGACAAACAUCUAGAAACAGCAGUUAAUAACAUAGUUCAAACUUCGACAACCUUUAUAGUUUAAACACAGAUUUCCAUGUUCUUGCAUCCUCUGCAUCAAUGCAGGGCUUUCGAGUAAUAGUCUCCUAACAAUCUCUUAAAUGUAUUUGUACUUUAAGAAUGUGUUAGGUUCUCUUAAGUCUGCUGGAAGACAGUUUGUUACACAUGAGAAAUACAAGCUCUGGAAAGUGCUAGACAAAGUCCUGCUUUCUGU